GCCUCGGUGGUUUAGUGGUAAUAGCACGCGUCCCUAGUAUGGAUGAAACAAGGGUUCGAUUCCCACCUGGGGCC